AAUGAACGCCGGCGGCGUGCUUAACACAUGCAAGUCGAACGAGGCGGAAGGGGGCAACUCCUUCCAGUCGAGUGGCGGACGGGUGAGUAACACGUGGGUAACCUGCCCGGAAGUGUGGAAUACCUCGGGGAAACUCGAGCUAAUACCGCAUGACAUCUUCGGGACGAAAGUCCUGACGAUCAAAGCGGGGUCGCAAGAUCUCGCGCUACCGGAUGGGCCCGCGCCCGAUUAGCUAGUUGGCGAGGUAACGGCUCACCAAGGCUUCGAUCGGUAACCGGCCUGAGAGGGCGAUCGGUCACACCGGAACUGAGACACGGUCCGGACUCCUACGGGAGGCAGCAGUGGGGAAUCUUGCGCAAUGGGCGAAAGCCUGACGCAGCAACGCCGCGUGGAGGAUGAAGGCCUUUGGGUUGUAAACUCCUGUCGGCUGGGAAGAAAUCGUACGGUGCUCAUACCACCGUGCGUU
rnacentral:rRNA from 1 species